GCGCUGCUAGUCUAAUGGCAGGACGGAGGCUUCCCAAGCCUCUGAUCGGGGUUCAAUUCCCCGGCUGCGCA
rnacentral:tRNA from 1 species